UGUGUGGGCGUCGUAACCACACCCACAUGACGUCACGAUGAUUACAACAUUAUGGGUGUGUCCAAAAUAAAAAUGGCGUCUUUUAAACAAUGGAUAUUACACUUCUAAAAUCUAAUGACUUAAGGAUGGUAAAUUGGGCUUUACCUCACGAACUCUGAGCAGAGCUGGUAAGGCUGUGACUAAAGGGCUGAAUGACACCCUUUCAUCCUCUUCAAUUGCAGCUUUGCUCGAUUCCAGUACAACUCAAUGUGUUAAGUAUAAGCACCAGUUAUGGGAUCAACUAAUGUGAUAGAGUGGUUCACAGUACCAUGAGAUCUUACAGGUCGUAAUGAAGAAACUUGCAUGUAUACUCUUAGAACUGCAUGGUCAAAUGUUCAUGUAUGUCGCACUUUAAUAUUGAUAUUAAUUUUUCCAAAACUAUUUU